rnacentral:rRNA from 1 species
AGAGUUUGAUCAUGGCUCAGGAUGAACGCUAGCGGGAGGCCUAAUACAUGCAAGUCGAGCGGUCAGCAAUGAUAGCGGCAGACGGGUGCGUAACGCGUAUGAAACUUGCCCCACACAGGAGGAUAGCCUUGGGAAACUGAGAGUAACCCUCCAUAGUCUUGAGUUGCCGCAUGGUAGCUUAAGUAAAACUUCGGUGGUGUGGGAUAGUCGUGCGUCCGAUUAGGUAGUUGGUAGUGUAAUGGACUACCAAGCCGACGAUCGGUAGCUGGUCUGAGAGGAUGAUCAGCCACACAGGCACUGAGACACGGGCCCGACUCCUACGGGAGGCAGCAGUAAGGAAUAUUGGACAAUGGACGGAAGUCUGAUCCAGCCAUCCCGCGUGGAGGAAUAAGGCCCUAUGGGUUGUAAACUCCUUUAGCAGGGGAAUAAAAAGGUCAUUUAUGAUCAAUUGAAGGUACCCUGAGAAUAAGCACCGGCUAACUCCGUG